UUAAUACAAAGCUGUAGGAUGCAAUGCAUGAAUAACUGAGUCUUAUCUAUACGUAGUACUAGCCGGGAGUUUCGACGUUCCAUUGCACCGGUCCAAGUGGCGGGGGAGUGAAAGGAAAACAUUUCUUCUCUCAGUACUUUACUUGCGAUGUUAUUUAGAAACUGCUUAUGCAUAUAAUACAUGCAAGUAUAACGCUGUCAUAUGCACCAUAUCAGAGAUUGGAUUCUGCUUGUGCACAAGUGUAACUUGGUAACAUUGCUACUAGUAGGAAACAUAAUUUAUAAUACAUGAUGGCAUUAUCACGAGCUGGUUUGCCUCGAGGUCUUGUUCGAGGAGACAUUUAUGAGAGAGAUAGACAAAUGGCAGAAGCAUCCAAGGAAAAGUUUCAAUACGUGAUCAGAAGUUUAAGAAGUUGACGCGCGGUCAAACCUGAAAGCUGCCAAAAAUACAAAAGACCUGUGAAUUGGCUUCGAGAAGAACCAAGUUGGGGUUUAUUGUGGCUUUUUUACUCUUAUUGGUGGUUUUGGUAGAAAACAACAGGAAUGAUUUUAUGUAAAUUUACUCACUUAUAUUUUUAGAUUUGAAACUAAGGUAUGUUUAAUUAAUGAGAUGAAAGAAAUUCCGAUGCAAUGAAAUCGAAAAAUAUAUCGGGGAAAAUGGUUAGCUGAUUACUUUCUAACAUUUUCGAUUAUUUGGGUCUAAUCUUCUGCCAUAUAAAUGCGUGCUUUACUAGAGAUCCUUAAAAUUAUCUUAAUGUGGUGAUACGCGUAAAUAAUCUCCGCGACAAAAUAAAUAAAUUUCAAUUUUAAUAUCCUAAAAAUAAAAGUAUUUUUUUUUCUAUGUUUUGUCCGGAGAUGUUUACGCGUGUCACCAUUAAGCAUAACGCUGGUAUUUGCAAUACAACAAUACAUUUAAAUCUCUAGCUAUUAUACAGAAUAAACUUAUCAAUAAAAUAGUGAAUAAGGAAAAGCAAAAAGCUGCACUUGACAUUCAAAAAUUUUUAUUAUUUAUUCACUAUUGUUGUACUAUAAUGAAUGUAAGUUAAAAUAUGAGAUAAUUUCUGUAAAUAUUAGAUACAGAUCUAUUUCUUUACUUAAGUGCAAGUUUUAUGACUGCUGAAUAUUUAAAAAAGAGGAAAACAGAAUUUUUCGAUCGUAAAGCAUAUUCUAAUGCUUUGCAUUAAGAAUCGUGCAUUAUGCUACUGGGUAGUUUUUGAAGUGUUUAGUUGAGAAUAAAAAGUCAAUUAAGAAUAAAUUAGCAAAACUGGUAAUAAAAUCUUGGAGUUAAAUCUCGACAAGACAGAUAUAACAUAGUAUUGUAUGAUAUAUCUGUAUCUUUAUCUAGUUUGAUAAAUAAUCUUUAAAAUAAAAAAAGGCCAGUCGACAGCCGAAUUGGAAGUAAAUUUCUUAAAAUUACUAAAAACUUGAAGAAUCGUAAAAUUUCAUCACUAGUCACAGAUAUGUGGGAAAUUUUCGGUCUAAGAGAAUAAAGUGACAUAAAAAUUGAAACUUAUUUAUGAGCUUUUAAAUGAAAUUUUGCAUUUUCAAAAGUUAUUUCAAAAAGAACUUAUAGAACGGUAAUUUUUUUCUAUUUUUGCAAAUUUUUAAUUGUUGUCAUUUCUGAACUAAUUGACCGAUUCGGCACGUCGAACUUGACCCUGUGAAUCGUCGAAAGAAUAACUAACUCGAAUAAACUUUUGAACUAUAUGUAUUUUCUGAAUCAGUUUGAAGAGUUCCGUCAUAAGGACAAAUGUAAUGAUUAGAUUUCUAUGAAAUCUACUUAUAAAUUUAUCCUCGCAUUACUUUUCGUAAAGUACUCAACGAA